GCGAGGGCUCCUGAGUCCAGUACAGUGGCACUGAAAAAGAGCGCAUCAUUGUAGAUUUUUUUCCUCAGAUGCACUCUUUUUCAGUGGUCCUGUGCUGGACUCGGGAGCCCUUGG